AUUGAACGCUGGCGGCAGGCCUAACACAUGCAAGUCGAGCGAGCGGCGGACGGGUGAGUAAUGUCUGGGAAACUGCCUGUUGGAGGGGGAUAACUACUGGAAACGGUAGCUAAUACUGCAUACCAUCAGAUGUGCCCAGAUGGGAUUUGCUAGUAGGUGGGGUAACGGCUCACCUAGGCGACGAUCCCUAGCUGGUCUGAGAGGAUGACCAGCCACACUGGAACAUAGACACGGGCCAGACUCCGAAGGGAGGCAGCAGUGGGGAAUAUUUCACAAUGGGCGGAAGCCUGAUGCAGCCAGGCCGCGUGGGUGAAGAAGGCCUUCGUGUUGUAAAGCACUUUCAGCGGGGAGGCGUUACCCGCAGAAGAAGCACCGGCUAACUCCGUGCCAGCAGCCGCGGUAAUAC
rnacentral:rRNA from 1 species